AAAGAAAAGCGUAAUGAAGAAGAAGUACAAACUCUGAAGUCUCAAGUAGGAUCUGACAAGAAGAGAAGGAAAUCUCUCAAGAAAUUAAUGG